UCCCUGGAGGACUAGGGGCUAAGGCCACAGUGCUCUCACCACUGCAGCCCGGGUUCGAGUCCCCGCCAGGGAG